CGGGGAGGGGCGCGAGAGGAGCGGGCCUGUUGGCGAGCGGCUCCUUCCAGCUGGCUGCAGUGCGGACCGGACCAGCGCGCUCCCGGGGCCUCCGGACCCAGGUGCUCAAACCUGUCCUGACACCUGGAGGUCUGCAUGAGGGGUGGCCACCGGAGGAGGGGGUCUCAGAGGUCGCAGGAGCUGAAGGGUCCAGUCAAGGGAGCUCUGGAGUCCCAGGAGUCUCCUGCUGAAGAAAGAAUCUAAAGAGAUGCCUAAGUUCCAGGGAAUUUUCCUCUAAGACUAAUAACAUCAAGAUAGUUUUGAUUUUACUUAUUUAUGGUCAUUGUUUUUCUCUACAUGAAAAAAAUGUGUCAUCUUCUGAGAUCCCGGUUAGAAUUUUUAAUUUUCCUUAUGCUGGUUGAAGAAGAAUCUCAAACCUUGGUGCUGCUUUUUGUUUAUUUCAAGAAGAAUUUCAGCUGGUGCUUGACAACUUAUGCCUCCUAUAAAACCAAGAAAUAUUUUUUUACACGGUGUAUAUUCAAGAUAUCUUCCAACUGACAGACAUUCCACCGAACAAAGAAGUUGGGCCAUUUUUCACUAUACAUUUUUGGUUAAAUAUGUGAGAGCUAUUGUUUUGAAAGUCAACCAUAGUAAUAAUAGCCAAUUCAAAAAACGUCCCACUGAAGAGUGAGUUACAUUUUGUCUCUAUGUCUACAUUUAUACUCCAUCUCUCUCUCCAUCUUUUAGUUCUCCCAGAAACAAAACAGAGUAUUUCUCCUCUGGCAAACUAAUGGCAAGGUUCCAUGUAAGAAAAUGCUGAACUUGAAAUUAUGAAACAUCACCAUCAGUUUCGGAGGAUUACAGGAUUAGAAGGUAGCCAGAAAUUUAGGGCUCAAGAACCUAGAACAUUAAGUUCAGAGAUGGAAUGUCAUUGGCUCCAAGGUUAAAAACAGAGGACCACCAUCUUAUUGCCUGUGAUUAUGACAUACUUGAACAUCAGUUGGGCUCAAAUACACAUUGAAGACAGUCAGCCAAAGGGUAAAUAAAUUAAACUGAAGUGACUCAGAAAGCACCUAGGGAGCUGAGUUGUGAAGCAGUAACAAGGAACUUUGUUCUUGAGAAUGACCCCACUUAGAACUCAAGGGAGAGAGCCUCAUUAGAAAACUCAAAGAAUCAUAGUACCCAGUGAGUUUCAUUUAUAAGCUUUCUCAAUAGAGAUGGAAAAGAAUAUGUAUGAUGAUAUAAGGGGACUGGUAUCUAUAUUUGGAAGUUCUGGACAUUUACCGUAUAUUAAACCCAAGUAUUUCCCUUUUUAUUUUAUAUUUUUAAAAUAUUUGAUUUUUUG